rnacentral:rRNA from 1 species
AGCAGCCGCGGUAAUUCCAGCUCCAAUAGCGUAUAUUAAAGUUGCUGCAGUUAAAAAGCUCGUAGUUGAGUUUCGGGACUAAUAUGUUGGUCGUGCCUCGGUACGUACUGAUAUUUUUGGUUUCUCCCUUCUGACGAACCUUGAUGUCAUUAAUUUGGUGUCUUGGGAAAUCAGGACUGUUACUUUGAAAAAAUUAGAGUGUUUAAAGCAGGCUAACGCUUGAAUACAUUAGCAUGGAAUAAUGAAAUAGGACGUUCGAUCCUAUUUUGUUGGUUUCUAGGAUUGACGUAAUGAUUAAUAGGGAUAGUUGGGGGCAUUAGUAUUCAAUUGUCAGAGGUGAAAUUCUUGGAUUUAUUGAAGACUAACUACUGCGAAAGCAUUUGCCAAGGAUGUUUUCAUUAAUCAAGAACGAAAGUUAGGGGAUCGAAGACGAUCAGAUACCGUCGUAGUCUUAACCAUAAACUAUGCCGACUAGGGAUCGGAUGAUGUUAAUUUUUAAUGACUCAUUCGGCGCCUUACG